rnacentral:tRNA from 1 species
GCCCUGGUGGCACAGUUGUUAAGUGCUCGGCUGCUAACCAAAAGGUUGGUGGUUCAAACCCACCCAGCGGCU